GGGAACAUGAAAAGAUUGGCGCAUGUUAGAACCUAGAACCGAACACAGGCCAAGAAAAGGAGAGAGAGAAAGAGAAAGAAGGCAUUAAGGCUCAGAAAUUUGAGGGACAACAAAAACCAAAACCAAUCCGAAAACAUAGGGGAUGGAAUAGUCUCCUCCUUUGGUGUCUUUGAACCAACAAACACUUGAUCUUUCUUUGGUUUGUUAAUUAAUCGUUGUAUUCUUUGUUCAAAUAAAAAAAAUAAAAAAUUUAUCAAUGUAUUCUUUGUGCCCCUCUCUCUUGCCAUGGCUAUGGCCAAGACUGUGCACAACCGCAACAACUUGUUGAGCCACACAUUUCUCCUCCCCAAAGGUUUGACAAGCUUGUAGCUGAAGUCAUUUGUCACUCGAGCAAGUUUGAAAGGCGGAGUUUCUGAACAAUGGGAAAGCAUUCUCCGUUUUCGAUGGAUAGAACUGAUCCAGGAUGUGUGUGGAGUAUGCUUCAUUUUAUCAAGUACCAGCACUGGGGUUAUAUUAAGAAAAAAUUUACACCCAAAUGUCGUGGUGGUGGGCGUGUCGUGGGAGUUGGAAGCCCAGGGAACGAUACAACUGGCUUAAGAGAAGACAAAAGGCAAAAGUCUUAUAGUGUUGAUAUGGACAACUCUGUUGUAAGUCGACGCGGAAGGAUUUUUGCUAGCAUGCAUUUGUACUCUUUUUUUAAAGAACACAGUUUUUAUGUGA